GACGAACGCUGGCGGCGUGCUUAACACAUGCAAGUCGAACGGUCCUGUUUUUGAAGCGCUUCGGCGUGGAGGGAGCGGGUUAGUGGCGCACGGGUGAGUAAUGCGCGAGGACCUGCCCGCGGGAGGGGGACAGCAGUUGGAAACGGCUGGUGAUACCCCGUAAGCCGGGAGGUAAAAGGGCGGAGACGCCCGCCUGCGGAUGGACUCGCGUCCUAUCAGCUAGUUGGUGAGGCAACGGCUCACCAAGGCGACGACGGGUAGCCGGCCUGAGAGGGUGACCGGCCACACUGGGACUGAGACACGGCCCAGACUCCUACGGGGGCAGCAGUGGGGAAUCUUGCACAAUGGGCGAAAGCCUGAUGCAGCGACGCCGCGUGAGCGAAGAAGGCCUUCGGGUUGUAAAGCUCUGUCUGGAGGGACGAAGGAAGUGACGGUACCUCCGGAGGAAGCCACGGCUAACUACGUG
rnacentral:rRNA from 1 species